rnacentral:lncRNA from 1 species
GAGAAACGUGAGUUGGGGAGAGAGAGACACACACACACGGACAGAGACGGGAGAGGAGAGAGAGAUGAAGAGAUAGAGAGGAGGAGAGGGAAGGGAGGAUAGGCAGGAGAGAGCCAAAAAGAUAGAGAGUGAAAGGAAGAGAGAGAUAAGAGAGAAGGAAAGAUGAGAGGGAGGAAGAUGGAGAAAGUAGAAGAGCAGGAAACAACAGUUGGAGAGAGAGAAAGAAGGAGAGAGAGAAAGAGAGACACUGAGCCCUGGGGACAGAGGGAAGGACAGCUGGGCUGGAGGCAGGGGGCCUGGGAGCCUGGUCAAGUCAGUCCAUGAGGCUGCUCUGAGACGUCACUGGGGGCAGGGAGAGAGUUAUCCAGAACUUUAGUACAGUCUUCUUUCUAGAAAACAGUGCUACCAGAAAGGGCUUAUGUCCAGAUCUGAGGUGCACUUACUUGUUCCCGAAGAUCCAAAUCUAAGUUGCUUUUAGAUUCUACUCUGUGCUUCCACGGAGUCUACUCUAACGACCUUGGCCAGGUCUCUGGCCUCCAUCAAGGAACGACCAGAAUUCCUGGGUCUGGCCACAGGUUUUGGCCCCGCCUCAGAGGGUUGGGUGAGGGGGCUUAGCAGGUGUAGGAGAGCUUGCUCUGGGCAGUAGCUGUGGGCCUUACUUCUGUAUUUGCCGCAGUAUCUGAUUUGCCCUGUAGAGCAUUUAUGUCACUAGGUUUUUACAAAAGUUGCUUUUUGACUUAUUGCCUUAGUGACGAGUUGUCAGGUUUUUCUCUGUUUAAGUGGCUACAGCUGAAUAGCUCAGGCCAAACUUAAAGCUCACACUUGAGACUUGACGUGCUCAGCUCCUGCUAAAGAGGCUCCAGGGCAGCGCCUGCCUUUCCGGGAAGCUCCCCUGAGGGUCACCGAGGCUGCAGAGAACACCCGGUGAUGACUGCAUGGAUCUCCUUCAUCUGCUGGGAUUCAAGCUGUGUUGCUGAGCCUGCUUAGUAAGGAGCGUCCUGGGUUCUGUUCAUGCAGACACGUUCAGACAUCUUUGAUUCUGGAGAAAUUCCCUCAAGUCACACUUUUCUAGAUAAUAUCACAGGUGCCACAUGACCAGUUUGGCUUAUUUUAAAAUGCAUUUCAGAAGCAUUAAGACCAAAAAACACUCUGCAGAAGAGCCUCGGCUAGCAAGCUCCUCCCAGUCGCCUUUUGGAAUUUGCCUUUUUGUGAAACACCAACGUGUCUGUAGGUGUGGCAGUAAUGGAAUGUGAGGAGCACAACUGAACAAGUCACCAAACGUCAAUGAACCAGCUCACUGCUGCUUCUGGAGAACAGCCCGUGACAUUUUCCAAG